rnacentral:rRNA from 1 species
UACAGAGGUCUCAAGCGUUGUUCGGAUUCAUUGGGCGUAAAGGGUGCGUAGGCUGUGGGGUAAGUCUGGUGUGAAAUCCCGGGGCUCAACCCCGGAACUGCACUGGAUACUGCUUUACUAGAGCACUGGAGAGGAAAGCGGAAUUCCUGGUGUAGCGGUGAAAUGCGUAGAUAUCAGGAGGAACACCUGCGGUGUAGACGGCUUUCUGGACCAUAACUGACGCUGAGACUACGAAAGCGUGGGAGCAAACAGG